rnacentral:lncRNA from 1 species
GGCCAUCGAUGGAUUAUAUAUAUAUAAGGUCGCUUUCCUUCAUUUGGGUCUCCUACUGUAAUUUGUUAGUAAUCCUCCUACAAUUAAGGGAAUUCCUGUGGGUGCCGAGAGUUCUAGGUGCUUAGGAUCAUCAUCAUCUUCUUCCUCAUGUUAUCAAGCUUUUGCUCUCAGGUUGGGCUUCUUCUUUUCUUCCUUUGUCAUUUCUUUGUCAUUACCUCCUUCUUUGUUGAGUUUUAUUGCCAUGAAUAUGGUCAGUAGCAGUAAGAAAGACAAGACUAAGGUUAGGAAAGAUGGACCUAUAGAUAGAGUUUCCAACCCUGUGCCUUCUCGGGAUGAUCGAUCGAUUGGUCUGGCUAAUGAUGCCCUUUUGGAUCCAGCCACAGAAGCUUCUUCUAUGAUCAAAUCCGAAGUCCGACAGCUACGGGCAUGAUAUUAUGUCCCGGAGCAGUUCCGGCUCUAUGCCCCUAGUUCGGAUGGUUGGAUGAACUUUCCUCCUCCUGAUCAAGUUGUGGUUUAUGUAGAGAAUCUUAGAGCUGAUCUUAUUUUUUUGAUUUUAGAGUUUGUUCAGAGUCUUUUUGAUUACUAUCAAAUCUGUCCUGUCCAACUUGUAUC